UACGUAGGGACCAAGCGUUGUCCGGAAUCAUUGGGCGUAAAGAGCGUGUAGGCGGCCCGGUAAGUCCGCUGUGAAAGUCGGGGGCUCAACCCUCGGAUGCCGGUGGAUACUGUCGGGCUCGAGUACGGAAGAGGCGAGUGGAAUUCCUGGUGUAGCGGUGAAAUGCGCAGAUAAUCAGGAGGAACACCAAUUGCGAAGGCAGCUCGCUGGGACGUUACUGACGCUGAGACGCGAAAGCGUGGGGAGCAAACAGG
rnacentral:rRNA from 1 species